rnacentral:misc_RNA from 1 species
UCGCGGCUUAUCACCGGCAGUCCCCCUAGAGUGCCCAACUGAAUGAUGGCAACUAAGGGCGAGGGUUGCGCUCGUUGCGGGACUUAACCCAACAUCUCACGACACGAGCUGACGACAGCCAUGCAGCACCUGUGUCCCCGCCAGCCGAACUGAAGAGAUCCUUCUCUGGAUCUCAUACGGGGCAUGUCAAGGGCUGGUAAGGUUCUUCGCGUUGCUUCGAAUUGAACCACAUGCUCCACCGCUUGUGCGGGUCCCCGUCAAGGGGGCACUCUGGAGAGACUGCCCACGAUGAGUGGGAGGAAGGUGGGGAUGACGUUGGAGAGUACGUCC